rnacentral:rRNA from 1 species
CCUACGGGUGGCAGCAGUGAGGAAUAUUGGUCAAUGGGCGCGAGCCUGAACCAGCCAAGUAGCGUGAAGGAUGACUGCCCUACGGGUUGUAAACUUCUUUUAUAAAGGAAUAAAGUGAGGCACGUGUGCCUUGUUGGAGGUACGUUAUGAAUAAGGAUCGGCUAACUCCGUGCCAGCAGCCGCGGUAAUACGGAGGAUCCGAGCGUUAUCCGGAUUUAUUGGGUUUAAAGGGAGCGUAGAUGGGUUGUUAAGUCAGUUGUGAAAGUUUGCGGCUCAACCGUAAAAUUGCAAUUGAUACUGGCAGUCUUGAGUACAGUUGCGGUAGGCUGAAUUCGUGGUGUAGCGGUUACCUGCUUAGAUCUCACG